rnacentral:rRNA from 1 species
CCUACGGGUUGCAGCAGUGGGGAAUAUUGCACAAUGGGCGCAAGCCUGAUGCAGCCAUGCCGCGUGUAUGAAGAAGACCUUCGGGUUGUAAAGUACUUUCAGCGAGGAGGAAGGCGUUAAGGUUAAUAACCUUAGCGAUUGACGUUACUCGCAGAAGAAGCUCCGGCUAACUCCGUGCCAGCAGCCGCGGUAAUACGGAGGGCGCAAGCGUUAAUCGGAAUUACUGGGCGUAAAGCGCACGCAGGCGGUCUGUUAAGUCAGAUGUGAAAUCCCCGGGCUCAACCUGGGAACUGCAUUUGAAACUGGCAGGCUUGAGUCUUGUAGAGGGGGGUAGAAUUCCAGGUGUAGCGGUGAAAUGCGUAGAGAUCUGGAGGAAUACCGGUGGCGAAGGCGGCCCCCUGGACAAAGACUGACGCUCAGGUGCGAAAGCGUGGGGAGCAAGCAGGAUUAGAUACCCGGGUAGUC